CUAUGACGCAUUUUGCGACAAUUAGCGACCGGUUUAUAGAUAAAACGUUAAUUACAUUUUCUAUUGGGGAGAACCGUUAGAUAUUUAAAGCUCGCUUGCUGUUCAUAUUAAAUACACAGGUGACAGAAACUACCAAACUCUUGACCAACAACAAUCGUUUUAAAAGUCAACGAAAGAAAUCAAAAUGACAAAAAUUAUUUUACUGUUAUCAAUAUUUAUCUUAUUGAUUGGGCUUGUGGUAAAUGACGAGAUAACGGUGCUGGAGGGGGAUUGUUUUCUCAGUAUGUGUAUUCCCACAAUGGUAGAGUGCUGUGAAGGACACGUUUGCACUGCUAAUAACGGUGUGUACAUAUGUGGUAGAAAAAAAGGUGAUCAAAAGUAAAUAAUUCGUGGAACUUCAAAUUCGAGGUUUCAAUAAUUUAAUUUCAACAUCUAUUAAAUUAUUCCUUCAAGUAAAAUUAUGUAAGACGCAUAAACAAAUGAAUAAAUAGUAUUGCGCUAUCAAAAUAUAAAA